rnacentral:rRNA from 1 species
UUCCGGUUGAUCCCGCCGGACCCGACUGCUAUCGGAUUGGGACUAAGCCAUGCGAGUCAACUCCGCAAGGGGUGGCGCACGGCUCAGUAACACGUAGUCAACCUACCCUAGGGACGGGGAUAACCUCGGGAAACUGAGGCUAAACCCCGAUAGGCCAUUGUUCCUGGAAUGGACCAUGGCUGAAAUCUAUAUGGCCCUAGGAUGGGACUGCGGCCGAUCAGGUUGUUGGUGGGGUAAUGGCCCACCAAGCCUAUAACCGGUGCGGGCCCUGAGAGGAGGAGCCCGGAGAUGGGCACUGAGACAAGGGCCCAGGUCCUAUGGGGCGCAGCAGGCGCGAAACCUCCGCAAUGGGCGAAAGCCCGACGGGGUCAGUCCGAGUGGUCCCCGCUGAGGGGACCUUUUGCCAGCUGUAAACAGGCUGGAGAAUAAGGGGUGGGCAAGUUUGGUGUUAGCCGCCGCGGUAAAACCAGC